UACGGGGGGUGCAAACGUUGCUCGGAAUUAUUGGGCGUAAAGCGCACGUAGGCGGUCUGAUAAGUCGGGUGUGAAAGCCCCGGGCUCAACCCGGGAAGUGCACUCGAAACUGACAGGCUUGAGUACGGAAGAGGGUCUCGGAAUUCCCGGUGUAGAGGUGAAAUUCGUAGAUAUCGGGAGGAACACCAGUGGCGAAGGCGGAGACCUGGGCCGAUACUGACGCUGAGGAGCGAAAGCGUGGGGAGCGAACAGG
rnacentral:rRNA from 1 species